rnacentral:rRNA from 1 species
GGACGACGCUGGCGGCGUGCCUAACACAUGCAAGUCGAACGGAACUGAUUUGACUGAUUCCUUCGGGAUGAAGAAUUUUAGUUUAGUGGCGGACGGGUGAGUAACGCGUGAGUAACCUGCCUCUGAGAGGGGGAAUAACGUUCUGAAAAGAACGCUAAUACCGCAUAGCACAUAUUUGCCGCAUGACAGAUAUGUCAAAGAUUUUUAUCGCUCGGAGAUGGACUCGCGUCCGAUUAGUUAGUUGGUGAGGUAACGGCUCACCAAGACCGCGAUCGGUAGCCGGACUGAGAGGUUGAACGGCCACAUUGGGACUGAGACACGGCCCAGACUCCUACGGGAGGCAGCAGUGGGGGAUAUUGCGCAAUGGGGGCAACCCUGACGCCAGCAACGCCGCGUGAAGGAUGAAGGUUUUCGGAUUGUAAACUUCUUUUAUCAGGGACGAAGAAUGACGGUACCUGAUGAAUAAGCUCCGGCUAACUACGUGCCAGCAGCCGC